rnacentral:rRNA from 1 species
CCUACGGGAGGCAGCAGUGGGGAAUCUUCCGCAAUGGACGAAAGUCUGACGGAGCAACGCCGCGUGAGUGAUGACGGCCUUCGGGUUGUAAAGCUCUGUUAAUCGGGACGCGGUACCGGAAUAGAAAGCCACGGCUAACUACGUGCCAGCAGCCGCGGUAAUACGUAGGUGGCAAGCGUUGUCCGGAAUUAUUGGGCGUAAAGCGCGCGCAGGCGGAUCAGUCAGUCUGUCUUAAAAGUUCGGGGCUUAACCCCGUGAUGGGAUGGAAACUGCUGAUCUAGAGUAUCGGAGAGGAAAGUGGAAUUCCUAGUGUAGCGGUGAAAUGCGUAGAUAUUAGGAAGAACACCAGUGGCGAAGGCGACUUUCUGGACAAACUGACGCUGAGGCGCGAAAGCCAGGGGAGCGAACGGGAUUAGAUACCCUUGUAGUC